rnacentral:tRNA from 1 species
GCCGAAGUGGUGAAACCGGAAAACACGCAUCACUCAAAAUGAUGUGGGCUUACGCCCUUGAGGGUUCGACUCCCUCCUUCGGCA